rnacentral:rRNA from 1 species
GACGAAUUCUGGCGGUGUGCUUAACACAUGCAAGUCGAACGGAAAGGCCCUGCUUUUGUGGGGUGCUCGAGUGGCGAACGGGUGAGUAACACGUGAGUAACCUGCCCUUGACUUUGGGAUAACUUCAGGAAACUGGGGCUAAUACCGGAUAGGAGCUCCUGCUGCAUGGUGGGGGUUGGAAAGUUUCGGCGGUUGGGGAUGGACUCGCGGCUUAUCAGCUUGUUGGUGGGGUAGUGGCUUACCAAGGCUUUGACGGGUAGCCGGCCUGAGAGGGUGACCGGCCACAUUGGGACUGAGAUACGGCCCAGACUCCUACGGGAGGCAGCAGUGGGGAAUAUUGCACAAUGGGCGGAAGCCUGAUGCAGCAACGCCGCGUGCGGGAUGACGGCCUUCGGGUUGUAAACCGCUUUCGCCUGUGACGAAGCGUGAGUGACGGUAAUGGGUAAAGAAGCACCGGCUAACUACGUGCCAGCAGCCGCGGUGAUACGUAGGGUGCGAGCGUUGUCCGGAUUUAUUGGGCGUAAAGGGCUCGUAGGUGGUUGAUCGCGUCGGAAGUGUAAUCUUGGGGCUUAACCCUGAGCGUGCUUUCGAUACGGGUUGACUUGAGGAAGGUAGGGGAGAAUGGAAUUCCUGGUGGAGCGGUGGAAUGCGCAGAUAUCAGGAGGAACACCAGUGGCGAAGGCGGUUCUCUGGGCCUUUCCUGACGCUGAGGAGCGAAAGCGUGGGGAGCGAACAGGCUUAGAUACCCUGGUAGUCCACGCUGUAAACGGUGGGUACUAGGUGUGGGGUCCAUUCCACGGGUUCCGUGCCGUAGCUAACGCUUUAAGUACCCCGCCUGGGGAGUACGGCCGCAAGGCUAAAACUCAAAGGAAUUGACGGGGCCCCGCACAAGCGGCGGAGCAUGCGGAUUAAUUCGAUGCAACGCGUAGAACCUUACCUGGGUUUGACAUGGAUCGGGAGCGCUCAGAGAUGGGUGUGCCUCUUUUGGGGUCGGUUCACAGGUGGUGCAUGGCUGUCGUCAGCUCGUGUCGUGAGACGUUGGGUUAAGUCCCGCAACGAGCGCAACCCUUGUUCACUGUUGCCAGCACGUUAUGGUGGGGACUCAGUGGAGACCGCCGGGGUCAACUCGGAGGAAGGUGGGGAUGACGUCAAGUCAUCAUGCCCCUUAUGUCCAGGGCUUCACGCAUGCUACAAUGGCUGGUACAGAGAGUGGCGAGCCUGUGAGGGUGAGCGAAUCUCGGAAAGCCGGUCUCAGUUCGGAUUGGGGUCUGCAACUCGACCUCAUGAAGUCGGAGUCGCUAGUAAUCGCAGAUCAGCAACGCUGCGGUGAAUACGUUCCCGGGGCU